GUUCCUACGGGAGGCAGCAGUGGGGGAUAUUGCACAAUGGGGGGAACCCUGAUGCAGCGACGCCGCGUGAGCGAUGAAGUAUUUCGGUAUGUAAAGCUCUAUCAGCAGGGAAGAAAAUGACGGUACCUGACUAAGAAGCCCCGGCUAACUACGUGCCAGCAGCCGCGGUAAUACGUAGGGGGCAAGCGUUAUCCGGAUUUACUGGGUGUAAAGGGAGCGUAGACGGCAGCGCAAGUCUGGAGUGAAAUGCCGGGGCCCAACCCCGGAACUGCUUUGGAAACUGUGCAGCUGGAGUGCAGGAGAGG
rnacentral:rRNA from 1 species